rnacentral:rRNA from 1 species
UACGUAGGGGGCAAGCGUUGUCCGGAUUUAUUGGGCGUAAAGAGCGUGUAGGCGGUCAGGUAGGUCCGUUGUGAAAACUCGAGGCUCAACCUCGAGACGCCGAUGGAAACCAUCUGACUAGAGUCCGGAAGAGGAGAGUGGAAUUCCUGGUGUAGCGGUGAAAUACGCAGAUAUCAGGAAGAACACCCGUGGCUAAGGCGGCUCUCUAGUACGGUACUGACGCUGAGACGCGAAAGCGUGGGGAGCGAACAGG